rnacentral:tRNA from 1 species
GGCUUCGUAGCUCAGCUGGUAGAGCAUGCGCUGGUCAAAAAGCGUGAGCGGCGUCCAUGCGAGGGUUCGAAUCCCAUCAAGGCUA